AUUGAACGCUGGCGGCAUGCUUUACACAUGCAAGUCGAACGGUAACAGGCCUUCGGGCGCUGACGAGUGGCGAACGGGUGAGUAAUGCAUCGGAACGUGCCCAGUCGUGGGGGAUAACUAUCCGAAAGGAUAGCUAAUACCGCAUACGAUCUGCGGAUGAAAGCGGGGGACCUUCGGGCCUCGCGCGAUUGGAGCGGCCGAUGUCAGAUUAGGUAGUGGGUGGGGUAAAGGCUCACCAAGACAACGAUCUGUAGCUGGUCUGAGCGGACGACCAGCCACACUGGGACUGAGACACGGCCCAGACUCCUACGGGAGGCAGCAGUGGGGAAUUUUGGACAAUGGGCGCAAGCCUGAUCCAGCAAUGCCGCGUGCAGGAAGAAGGCCUUCGGGUUGUAAACUGCUUUUGUACGGAACGAAACGGCUCUGGUUAAUACCCGGGGCUAAUGACGGUACCGUAAGAAUAAGCACCGGCUAACUACGUGCCAGCCGCCGCAGUAAAAC
rnacentral:rRNA from 1 species